rnacentral:lncRNA from 1 species
UAAAGACUUGUCGUAAUGGCAACUUCUCUCAAAGCCACCACCGCAACUUUUCUUCAGCCGGCGAAGAUCGCCACUUCUUCUCCUUCUCGCAACGUUCAUCUCCGAUCUAACCAAACCGUGGGCAAGUCCUUUGGCCUAGAAUCUUCACCUGCUAGACUCACUUGCUCUAUCCACUCUGACUUCAAAGACUUCGUUGGAAAGUGCUCUGAUGCAGCCAAAAUUGCUGGUUUCGCUCUUGCCACCUCUGCUCUCGUUGUCUCGGUAUAUGUUCACAUUCUCAUCAAGAACAUAAACUUAACAAAAUCUAUAGGCCUUUUGUAUUAUGAACAAAUAAACAUUCAUAAUGGAUUUUAAAUGUUUAUAUCAUAGACAUGGAUAAACCCAUUUAUUACUGAUUAUUUUUGAAGUUUCUAUAAUAUACGAUCAUUGCAAUAGAUGUAGGUUUAGUUGAAUAUUCUAUGGAAAUUAAUAAACCUAGGGUUUUUAAUAUAUUUUGUUAAAUGAAGGGGGCAAGUGCGGAGGGAGCACCAAAGAGGUUAACGUACGACGAGAUACAGAGCAAGACCUACAUGGAGGUUAAGGGGACUGGUACCGCGAAUCAGUGUCCCACUAUCGACGGUGGCUCUGAAACAUUCUCAUUCAAACCUGGUAAGUACACCGGCAAGAAAUUCUGCUUCGAGCCUACUUCCUUCACCGUCAAGGCAGAUAGCGUCAGCAAGAACGCACCUCCGGAUUUCCAAAACACCAAGCUCAUGACCCGUCUCACUUACACACUCGACGAGAUCGAAGGACCCUUUGAGGUUCGUCUUCACUCACUUAUUUCGAGGUGUUGCUUCUUACGCUAGAAACAGGAAAGUUAACUUGUAAAAAAUGAUUUUAUACCUAAGAACCUUCGAAAAGUUCCAUUGAUAAUGUUGUAUUUUACUUAAGUAUCUUAGAAAACUUCUUACACUAAAAAUACUAAUUAAAUAUUCUAAGAUGUUUGUGUUAAAUUUGUAUGGAAUGUUUGUGUUAUACAGUUACACUAAAAAUACUAACGAGGCUUCAGGCAAACCCGACAAUUUCAGUGGCAAAUUCUUAGUUCCUUCGUACCGUGGCUCGUCUUUCUUGGACCCUAAGGGACGUGGUGGAUCCACUGGCUACGAUAAUGCAGUGGCUUUGCCUGCGGGAGGUAGAGGUGACGAGAAUGUAAUAAAAUGUUUGUAAUUUUAAUUAAAUGAAUUUUUUUUCUACUUUUUAAUGUAUUGAAUAUAAAUAGAUACAUCUUAAUUACUACUUAUUAAUAAAAAAAAAUAUUUUAUACCUAAGAAAACGGUAGUAUCUAUACUUCCACAUCAAUUUUGACACGUGGCGAUCAAACAUCCAUAUACUCCUGAAGCAAUCCAAUAAAUUUUUUAAACUUAUCCAACCUUAUCUUAGCCAAAAGAACUCGCUCUCCUCCAAUAAUUACUUCUCAGCUUCGCAUCAUCAUCACUCCGAUAACACACAUACAUCUAAAGACUUGGCGUAAUGGCAACUUCUCUCAAAGCCACCACCGCAACUUUUCUUCAGCCGGCGAAGAUCGCCACUUCUUCUCCUUCUCGCAACGUUCAUCUCCGAUCUAACCAAACCGUGGGCAAGUCCUCUGGCCUAGAAUCUUCACCUGCUAGACUCACUUGCUCCAUCCACUCUGACUUCAAAGACUUCGUUGGAAAGUGCUCUGAUGCAGCCAAAAUUGCUGGUUUCGCUCUUGCCACCUCUGCUCUCGUUGUCUCGGUAUAUGUUCACAUUCUCAUCAAGAACAUAAACUUAACAAAAUCUAUAGGCCUUUUGUAUAUAUGAACAAAUAAACAUUCAUAAUGGAUUUUAAAUGUUUAUAUCAUAGACAUGGAUAAACCCAUUUAUUACUGAUUAUUUUGGAAGUUUCUAUAAUAUACGACCAUUGCAAUAGUUGUAGGUUUAGUUGAAUAUUCUAUGGAAAUUAAUAAACCUAGGGUUUUUAAUAUAUUUUGUUAAAUGAAGGGGG